GAUGCCCUUUUAAAAGGGUGAGGAAACCACUGGUGGCCCAUUGACUCGUAAGUGUAGGUAAUGUGCUACAUGAGAGGCAAGACUUGGCAAACACCAUAAGAGUCUCUGGCCCAAUGAGUGGAGUUUGAUAGUAAUUCUAGCUUCAAGU